GUGGUCAUUAGGUAGGGGAAUUUAUACAUUCCCCUUUUUUUUUGCAGCAAGGACCCAAACUACCUCCCAGGAGGAGAUGCCUCAGUGCAUCAUAAUAAUACCACAUUUUUCUAUGGCUCUAAUCAACCUAUUACACAAUAUGAUUUGCUGAGCUUUUCCUGAAAGCGGUGGGAUUUGAGUGCUCUCAAGGGUCUUCACUGCAGGAGGAAACACUGUACCUAAGCUGAUGUAGAGACAGUCAAGAGAUUCUGAGAUGAGCACCAGUUUUUGGGGGAAGCAUGCCCGGGAUGUGACUUGGAAGAACGGAUCCGGACUUUUGGGCACAGAGCAUCAUCUCACUGGGAAUCUGGCUCUCAAGUACUGAAUCUGGAACAAUUUCCCUCUAUGCGAAUGCCAUGUUGGCCAGGGAUAGAAACCACAUGGUUGCCAUGAACUCCUCCAUCGAGAUGAGUGGGUACGGCUCUGCUUGAAGCUCUCAUUCCAUUCAUGGAACAAGAUGACAUGCGGGGCUGUGCUAUUUUCCAGACACCUUACUUGCUCAAGUAAGUUCACGUAAGGUGUGCAGAAGCCAGUUCCAGUGGGAGGCAUUUAGCCCUGGCAGCCUCGGAGAGCACUUGCCAGGGGAAGAAACUACACAUGGCUGCUUCAGGAGGCUGAGAGGAAGUCAAAGCAGACUGAGUGAAGAGAUCCAUGAACUUCAAACAGAAGUUUCCCGGAUGCUUCGGACUUGGGUAAGAUGUAGCAGAUUGUGUCAUGUCAAUGUUUCUACUACAACAACUACAAAGAAGCCAGUCACAACAGGUGAAACAUGGACUUUACAAUCUAAAAUCUGAAAAAUGACAGAAAAGGAAAAUCAGUGAAUGAAGAAAAAGAAAAAAAAGAAAAAAAGUGAAUUCCCAAGAGCAAAUACUGUGCUGCUGUGUAAUCAACUGACUCCCUUUCCUCUCAAAUCAGCAUUGUCUUACUCUGUACUUUGAUCAAAAAGACAAUAAAGCAUCCAAUAUGUUGAAGUGCAGAGGAAGAAAAUUAAGCAAUUUCUAUAUUGUCCUCAGAAACAUAAACAACUCCAUAGGAAACGCAUUUUUUUAGUUUACUGCUGUACGAAACGUGGGACUUGGUUGCUGGUCACAGGCUGCCUGGUCUUCUUGCUCACUGCUCUCGCUGACCUUACUCCUUAGUUCCACGAUAAGUAAUAUUAUUGAGAACAAUGAUGGCAUGAGUUUAGAAAGCACCUUGUACAUAUCUGAGAUAAGGUAUAUUAAUGCCAUCAAAUAUUAUUUGAAAAAGAGUCACAAACUUAAAGAGCAACAUAGGGUAGGUGGGGCUUUAAGG